GGAUGAGUACAAUCUAGUUAGCCCUAAGUUUAGUAGGGGAAAAAUGGAGUCAUGUCCUUCUCAUUCUUGGAACCAAAAUAUUGACCAGUUGUCAGCAGUAUUGGAGUCACCAUUUUUCUUAUAUUGCAGUGAGGAACCAGAAAGGUGUCUCUCAUCCAUCCUUUACCGAAGUACCUAAAUGUUAUGUUUUACAUGCACCUAUUCCAAAAGUACCUGUUUCUGAAGAUUUAGGAGCCUGUAAUUUGACAUCAGAUUCUUCAGGACCUACGGGAGCUGAGAAGGAUGACAAUAUUGAUGAGGACAGAGUAAAUAUCAGAGCCAGUUCAAUUCCACCUCCUCGCGCUGUUAUAUCUAGUCCAGAUAAUGACACCAUGAUUGGGAAUAAAAAUCGGAUUAAAGGCAGGGAAAGACUUCCAGGUUCAAAGAACUGUGGAGUGCCGCAAAAUAGACAUGCAAUCUGUAAGGUUAAAACAAGCAACGGUACUGAAAAUUCCCGAAACAUGAGAAAACCCAAGGAAGCUGCAGAUAAAUCAAGUAAUUUUACUGAUUCUGUACAAAAGAGAAGGCCAACCAAGUCAGCAUCAAAUCAGAAAACUAAUCACCCGAAGAAGUGGGAGUUCUAGCUCCACUACACUGUUGGAGCAUGCCUGUGUUUAUCUGAUUUUGAAAAUGAACAGUGCGAAUCUGACAUGGGUUACUUGUAAAAUGCUGCAAUCAAAAAGUUUUACUGGCCUAUUAUAAUCCUUCAAAUGCAUGGGUUCAGGAUGAUUGAGAAAAUGCUCGACAUAUAAUGUGCCAGCCCAGUGGUGGAAUGUGGGUGCUGCAAGGUAAACCUGUGUAAGGGGGCAUCGAGAUUAUGAAUUUGAUUGCUUAUGUAGUUGUCUGGUUCAAUUAUCAGUUCCAGUUACAGAUGAAACAGGUUCUUGGAUUUGACUAGAGUAUAAUUUCAGGCAUGCUGCUCAACUUAAUUUAUGUCGUAGUCGAUACGUUUUUUCGCUUAUAAACUAUGAUAAAUUACUCGUGCGA